rnacentral:rRNA from 1 species
GAUGAACGCUGGCGGCGUGCCUAAUACAUGCAAGUCGAGCGAACAGACGAGGAGCUUGCUCCUCUGACGUUAGCGGCGGACGGGUGAGUAACACGUGGAUAACCUACCUAUAAGACUGGGAUAACUUCGGGAAACCGGAGCUAAUACCGGAUAAUAUAUUGAACCGCAUGGUUCAAUAGUGAAAGACGGUUUUGCUGUCACUUAUAGAUGGAUCCGCGCCGCAUUAGCUAGUUGGUAAGGUAACGGCUUACCAAGGCGACGAUGCGUAGCCGACCUGAGAGGAUGAUCGGCCACACUAGAACUGAGACACGGUCCAGACUCCUACGGGAGGCAGCAGUAGGGAAUCUUCCGCAAUGGGCGAAAGCCUGACGGAGCAACGCCGCGUGAGUGAUGAAGGUCUUCGGAUCGUAAAACUCUGUUAUUAGGGAAGAACAAAUGUGUAAGUAACUAUGCACGUCUUGACGGUACCUAAUCAGAAAGCCACGGCUAACUACGUG